AACGCACAUGGCGCCCCCCAGCAUCCUGGGGGGCAUGCCUGUCCGAGCGUCGUUUCAACCCUCGGGCCCCAGUGGCCCGGCGUUGGGGAUCCACGCCCCGUGGUCCCCCAAAUCCAGUGGCGGUCCGCGGCGGACUCUCCUUGCGUAGUAAUAUCUCCUCGCAUCGAAGACGCAGCGGCCACCGGCCUCUAAACCCCCAGCAAGCCCGCCCAGCGCGGCAAGGUUGACCUCGGAUCAGGUAGGAAUACCCGCUGAACUUAA
rnacentral:misc_RNA from 1 species